CGGACGGGUGAGUAAUGUCUGGGAAACUGCCCGAUGGAGGGGGAUAACUACUGGAAACGGUAGCUAAUACCGCAUAACGUCGCAAGACCAAAGAGGGGGACCUUCGGGCCUCUUGCCAUCGGAUGUGCCCAGAUGGGAUUAGCUAGUAGGUGGGGUAACGGCGCACCUAGGCGACGAUCCCUAGCUGGUCUGAGAGGAUGACCAGCCACACUGGAACUGAGACACGGUCCAG
rnacentral:rRNA from 1 species